rnacentral:rRNA from 1 species
UCGAGAAUCUUGGGCAAUGCGCGAAAGCGUGACCCAGCAAUGCCGCGUGUGUGAUGAAGGUCUUCGGAUUGUAAAACACUGUCUCCCGUGACGAUAAUGACGGUAGCGGGGAAGGAAGCCACGGCUAACUACGUGCCAGCAGCCGCGGUAAUACGUAGGUGGCGAGCGUUGUUCGGAUUUAUUGGGCGUAAAGGGUCUGUAGGAGGUUUGUUAAAUUCGGGGUGAAAUCCCAAAGCUCAACUUUGGAACUGCCUUGGAGACUGAUGAACUAGAGUACUGGAGAGGUAAGCGGAAUACCAGGUGUAGCGGUGGAAUGCGUAGAUAUCUGGUAGAACACCAAAAGCGAAGGCAGCUUACUGGACAGUUACUGACUCUGAGAGACGAAAGCGUGGGGAGCAAACA